UACGGAAGGCAGCAGUGGGGAAUAUUGCACAAUGGGCGCAAGCCUGAUGCAGCCAUGCCGCGUGUAUGAAGAAGGCCUUCGGGUUGUAAAGUACUUUCAGUCGUGAGGAAGGUGUUAAGGUUAAUAACCUUAGCAAUUGACGUUAGCGACAGAAGAAGCACCGGCUAACUCCGUGCCAGCAGCCGCGGUAAUACGGAGGGUGCGAGCGUUAAUCGGAAUUACUGGGCGUAAAGGGCACGCAGGCGGUUAAUUAAGUUGGAUGUGAAAUCCCCGGGCUUAACCUGGGAAUGGCAUUCAAGACUGGUUAGCUAGAGUCCUGUAGAGGGGGUAGAAUUCCAUGUGUAGCGGUGAAAUGCGUAGAGAUGUGGAGGAAUACCGGUGGCGAAGGCGGCCCCUGGACAAAGACUGACGCUCAUGUGCGAAAGCGUGGGGAGCAAAC
rnacentral:rRNA from 1 species